rnacentral:lncRNA from 1 species
AUGCGAAGGUUACAGUCCUGGAGUGGCUCGGGUUCUCUCCGUCCCCCCCCCUCUCCCUGCCACCCUCCCCCCUCCCAUCUCUCCCUCCUCCACAGUCCUGCCCUCGUCCAUCACCAGCCCUCCGGGCAGCACAGGGCGGCAGCUGGGAGAGAAAAGCCUAGAUGUGCAGGAGGGCAGGGCCCUGGGCAGCCCGGGGACGCUCCAGCCCCAAGCUGCCUGGACCCCGUGUCCUCAGCCCCCACUCACAGCCUGCUGUGCCUCGGUCCGAAGCGAAGCAAGGGCCCUCGCUUGCUCGCUCCUCCCGGAGGAGGAGCCCCUCGCCCAGCCGGACACUCUCUCCUCGCAGCCCCCUCUGCUCAGGACAGAAGGGAAGACCCCGGGGGCAAGCCUCUGUUUUUCCGUCCAGAUCCGACCGCAUUACAAGCUGUAAAGCGCCCUGCCCUCAGGAUAUCGCGGGGGAGCUUUCUAGAGCUCCUAUCCGCAGGAGCAGAUCCAGGAGCUGGCCUCCCCUCUCCUCCUCUGCUCCCCCCGGCUCACACACACAAGAGGAAGAUAAUCUACCUUAAUGCAGAGGAAAUCAUAAAAAGGAAGGCUAGGGGUCAGGAGUAAGUCUUACCUCCAAGCCUGAUUUCUAGAAGGAGUGCUUGGAAUGCCCCCCCCCUCGCUCCCAGCCUCAGCUCUGCCAGCCCACCCAUGCAUAAAGGGAUGUUUCCUCUGAAAUGAUCCUCAAGCCAAAGAGGCACCAACCCUCCAGCUUGCAGACCCCCUGGAAAAUGGACACAGACACAGCUGGGGGCCUCCGGCUCCUUCCGCCCUCAUCAGAGAGAGUCGUGGGGUCCCUGUGUGUGCCUCUCCCUGCUGAGCCCUGCCCUGCACCCCACCCCACCCCCAAAACAUACACACAGUGCCCAGGGAAACACGGUAACAAGGUCCGUGCUCGGGGGGUCAUGGAGCGUGUGUAUGUUUGGUGACCCACAGCCUCGGCUUCUCCCAGAAAUCUGGCCUCUGGGGGACCAGAAGUGGUCUGGGGGCCUCCCGCCCCCACUGCCCCACAGUGGUCCCAGCCUGCCCCCAGGAAGCCCCGUGCAGGUGGGGACACCAGUGCCUUCUGUCUACAUCCCCUGGCCCUUCUGAAAAAACAAGAGAUUAAGGACGGCGUCAGAUGGGCAGGGGAGGGGAUGGGGAGGGCUGUUACCCCUGCCUUCCCCAAAGCUCGGGCCCCAACACCUCACCUGCCUUCCGGCUCCCCUCAGCCCCCUUCCCACCUGCCAGCGGGGACGAAGGGGGAAUUGAAUUAAUCUAAAUCCUACAAAAUGCUCUUGGAUUGUUUUCCUAAUUCUGGUCUCCCCCUGUGUGGGAACGUGGCUCCUUUUCCCCCUCGUGCCCCCAGCCCCUCAGACUUGGUCCUUUCCUAAGAGCUGAGGUCUGUAGGGCGGAGAGGCCCGGGGCCAGGAAAGGAAAGGUCAGGAGUCCAGAUACAGAACCAUUUUCUCUUCCCUCCCAUCCGCACUCCGCUCCCCUCCCGCCCCUCCUCUGGUCCCGGCAUUAAGAUGUUGGCCGUCUGCUGGAGAGAGGGAGGGGCAGAUUAAUGGGAUCAGUAGCACCGUGA